GACGAACGCUGGCGGCGUGCUUAACACAUGCAAGUCGAACGGAAAGGCCCUGCUUUUGUGGGGUGCUCGAGUGGCGAACGGGUGAGUAACACGUGAGUAACCUGCCCUUGACUUUGGGAUAACUUCAGGAAACUGGGGCUAAUACCGGAUAGGAGCUCCUGCUGCAUGGUGGGGGUUGGAAAGUUUCGGCGGUUGGGGAUGGACUCGCGGCUUAUCAGCUUGUUGGUGGGGUAGUGGCUUACCAAGGCUUUGACGGGUAGCCGGCCUGAGAGGGUGACCGGCCACAUUGGGACUGAGAUACGGACCAGACUCCUACGGGAGGCAGCAGUGGGGAAUAUUGCACAAUGGGCGGAAGCCUGAUGCAGCAACGCCGCGUGCGGGAUGACGGCCUUCGGGUUAUAAACCGCUUUCGCCUGUGACGAAGCGUGAGUGACGGUAAUGGGUAAAGAAGCACCGGCUAACUACGUG
rnacentral:rRNA from 1 species